GCCAGUGUGGUGCAGUGGUUUGAGCGUUGGUCUAUGACCCUGAAGAUCACGGUUCAAAUCCUAGCUUGGCCA